ensembl:lncRNA
GUUUUUCCAGUGGUCAUGUAUGGAUGUGAGAGUUGGACUAUAAAGAAAGCUGAGCGCUGAAGAAUUGAUGCUUUUGAACUGUGGUGUUGGAGAAGACUCUUGAGAGUUCCUUGGACUGCAAGGAGAUCCAGCCUGUCCAUUCUAAAGGAAAUCGGUCCUGAAUAUUCAUUGGAAGGACUGAUGCUGAAGCUGAAACUCCAAUCCUUUGGCCACCUGAUGCCAAGAGCUGACUCAUUGGAAAAGACUUUGAUGCUGGGAAGGAUUGGGGGCAGGAGGAGAAGGGGACGACAGAGGAUGAUAGUUCGAUGGCAUCACCGACUCAAUGGACAAGUACGCCACGGCUGGAGUUUGGCACUGCCCAGUUCUAAGUAUGUGAAGGAGGGCCCGCCGGGGGAUGUGCUGCCCCUCCUCUACGCCAUUCAUGGCUGAGGCCAAGAUUACUCAGAGUCCGGUGGGGAUAAUUCAUCUCUGCUCCACUAGAUGUCAGCUGGACUAAGGCUGAAGGAUCCACUUCCAAGAAGGCCCCGUCCCAUGACUGGCAAAUUCCUCUCCAG